AGCUUCUUUAUCAGGGUAGUCAGGGAUUUCGAGAAGUACCUCUGUGAACUCUUUGACGUACUACCGGAUGGUUCCUUUGUGCUGCAAACGCCUUAGCUUGCCACGUUGCUUGGGUAGAACUGCUUCUUAGGUUCUGCCUUGAAAUUUGCCCAAGUCUUGAUAGAGCAGGUGCCUUUCUCUAUGUCGCUUUGUCUUCUCCUCCACCAAACCAUUGCGGUGUCCUCGAGGAAAAGACUACCCAUGCUUACCUUUAGAGCCUCGUCUUGCAUGUCGAGAGCCCUAAAGUAUUGCUCCAUGCUCUAAACAAAGUUGUCUAGUUCGCUCGCAUUUCUAGACCCUUUGAAGUAUUUGGGUCGUGGAACAUCUAUUUUGGAAGGGGUAGUCCUUACCUCGGACGUAGUGGCAGUGCCUUGUGCAAGAGACCCCCUCGAACCUUUGGUCGGCCUCCAUGAACUUGUCCUGCCCAUCGGCAAUGGCCAACUUCACCUUGGCCAGCCUUGUCUCCAACUCCCCCAUGGCGUCCCUGGAGCGAGACCUUUGGCCCUUAGAUUUGUCCCUUUCGGUUUGGGUGAUUUGACUGCCGCCUUCCAUACUCCCUUAGAUGUUCCAACGAACCUGGCGCUCUGAUACCAAUUGUGACAAGACCGUAACUCAAACACGACGAUCUGUCCGGCCUAGCGAANNNN
rnacentral:lncRNA from 1 species